CGAGAAUCUUCGGCAAUGGGCGCAAGCCUGACCGAGCGACGCCGCGUGGAGGACGAAGGCCUUCGGGUUGUAAACUCCUGUCGAGGGGGAGAAAGGGCCCGCAAGGGCCUUGAUCGAUCCCUGGAGGAAGCACGGGCUAAGUUCGUGCCAGCAGCCGCGGUAAGACGAACCGUGCGAACGUUAUUCGGAAUCACUGGGCUUAAAGCGCGUGUAGGCGGAUCGGUGCGUCGAUGCCUGAAAUCCCCCGGCUCAACCGGGGAACGCGGCCCGAAACGACCGGUCUCGAGGGACGUAGGGGGGUCUGGAACUUCCGGUGGAGCGGUGAAAUGCGUUGAGAUCGGAAGGAACGCCCGUGGCGAAAGCGAGGCCCUGGACGUCUGCUGACGCUGAGACGCGAAAGCUAGGGGAGCGAACG
rnacentral:rRNA from 1 species